GUGUGACUUACUUCCUAGCUUCCUGGCCUGCAUGCUGUCCUAAAGGAGGUAGAAAAGAAACAUGAGGUCAGACUUCAUGGAGAAAAUAUGAUCAGAGGGGGUCUAUGUAAGGGCCUACCGCUACGAAAAACUCUUGACAAGUAUCUAGGUCAAUAAUAUACUAAUGGAUCGAAAUUGCAAUAAAUUUGAAACGUCACUUGAAAAGAAGUAUUGCAUGAGAUGUGAUGUAUAACUAACUAUUCAUGGAAACUGAGAAUUCACUGAGGUGUCUUUUUGGCGGCAUUGUGUAAGAAAACAAGGAAUCUGGACAUUAUUAUAAUUAUUAUUAUUCUGAUUCUGAUCUGACCAGUUCUGUAAACUUGAACUUAGCUUCAACAUAAUGGAAUCAUCCAGCCAUAAUGCAAUGAUGCUUACAACUUCAAGCCUCAAUUUUCCUUAAAAUCACUGACGAUAUAAGGCGAAGAAAAGAAUAUGUAAGAAAUUAAUGGAAGUGGUAGAUGCUGUUUACUGCAGCAGCACACUGUCAAAGCCAUCAACAAGCCAUUGAAGAUACUAGAGUAAAGGAUGCCACUAAACCAAAGCCAAUCAAAGCUGAAUUUCAAGUCGCAGUGAGUUGGUGUCUAUAAAAACAAGUGAAAAUCAUUAGUCACAUAUAAACUGAUUAAUGUACAGUAACAUUAAUAAUAAUUAAUAAUUUCUAAAUGUACCGAUAUUCACCACAAGAAUGGUGCUCAUGGCUCUUUGUGAUGGAACUUUACAUUAUACAAAUACAACAUGGUUUGAGGUGAAGGAGUUUCAACAACACAGAGGGAAAAAGAAUAAAUUAACCUCUUCAAAAUAUGAAAGAUAAAUGUCAAUUUUGAUUUAGGGUAGUGCUUAUUCCUGGCAUGUUGUAAGCAUUCACGUGCAUGGAUGUAAAAUAGGCAAAAUACUGUUCACUGAGUGAAAUGACCAGUGAAAUGUUGUUUCCUAGUUAGUAUUCAGUAUAAUGAGUCUGAACACGUUUUUCUCUUACAAUUACAGCCAUUCUGUGGCAAAUUCAAUUGCACUGUAGUACUAACCGUUGGCUCCUUUAAAUGAGGCAUGUUGUGGCGAAAUGUUUAAGUUGUCGCACAGUCCAGUAUCGAGUAUUAAAUGAGCUAUAAAAUAUGGGAGCUCAAAAAAUUGCCUAAAAAUCUAAAUUUGUUUUUCACUAUAGAUCAACAGUUUAAUGUCUUAUUAAUCAUGUCCCAAAGUAUUAGUUCUGGAAGUGGUUAACAAAUUGUUUAUUUAACGUUAUUUUUCAUAGUUCAUUCUAUUAAAUCGAGAGCUUAGAGCCAAAAGUGCCUAUGUCCAAAAUUCAUAUUUCGAGAAAAAUAAGUUUUAAUAUUUCAUUAUAUCUAAAAAAUCAAAUAAUAUAACCAAAAGAACAAUAUUCCAGAAUUAUGUUAUUAAUACUUAGACAAAGUUGAUGCUUCGGUACUUAUAAGAAUUCUUCCCCUGGGGGUCCAAAAAAUUCAGAAAAUGGACAUAGACAAUUCUAGUCCAAAAUAGAAAUAACAUUAUUUGGACAUAAUAAAAGAUUGUUGCAAUGUCUGCUUAAUUUUCAACAACUUUUAUUAAACCAAGUGGUUCAAACGUUAAUUUUCAACAAAUAUUUCAUCUGCAGGCAGGAUCUUAAAAUAAAAUAGUUUGUAUACCAGGCAUUAAAGCAUGCAAAAUUAUCACUUCAGACCCGAGUUUUGUUACACCGAAUAGUUAGUGCAUUAGACAAUGUCUUCAUUAUCACUGUCUUCGCCAGAGUCUUCAAUAGCUGGUUCUGGUAGGUGGUCCUGUAUUCGACCAGAUGAAUUUAUGGCUUUGUACCAUCCAUAGAACUCUGCAGGUAUGGCCAAUUCUGUACACAGCUUCACCAGAUCCUUCUUCUUUGCGUUACUGAUUGCCCGUCUGGUAUCGUAGGCAGGUAGCAAAGCAUUUGGAACAACAGGGCGACCACGUCCAUACACGCAGAUUCUUGUGUAGUUUCCUUUGUAACCGUAUCUAUAACUAAUUAUUCCUGGUUGAUCUUUCCUAUAUCAAAAGCUCUUGACCAGCAGCCAGUUGAUGAUAUUUCCCUCUUCGUCCCGGCGUUUAUUUUUUAAAAGAUGUUGUGCAAGUCUUUGGAAAUCAUAGAAAUCUUGAUGCUGCAAGUUUACCACAUUGUAUGGGUGUUGACGCCUAGCUCUACGAAAGAUAGACACCCAGUCAUGCAUUGUAAAGACACCCAAUAGCCGCAUGCAUACUAUCGCAUUCCAUAUGUGAAUGUCCACUUUCCAGAAAGUUAUGAGUAAUUACGUUAACUUGGGUGUUCAUGACAGCAUAAAAAUCAUUGCUGCGACAUUCUGAUUGCGAUUUUGUCCUCCACACGUGUCAGAAAAUAAGGAAAUUUCUGUUAUUGAACAUGGAAGUUGGGUUAUCCAAUUAUAAAGACAAGUUCCUAUGUCAUUGCUUCCACGUCUGCCUUAAACCUCUGACCAGCAAAAGUAAUGUGCGUCAUUUGGUGGUGCUGCACUGUAUAUACAGAGGUUGUAUACGCAUAUUUUUCUACUGUAAUACAUCAGAGAACGUGCACUUGUGGGGAGUUGAAGGACACUCUGUAAGUCAAAUGAUGCUGAUACCGCUCUUGCUUUAUCAGCGGUUUUCGCGUCCUGUGCCUCUUUUUUUCUUGUAAUAUGAGAAUCAUAAGCUCCUUUAAAUGUUGGUUUUUGUAUUUUAUGCAUUGCGCACAUUAAUCUUUUUUGGGGUGAAAAAAUGAUAAGAUAUAUUCAUCACAAAAUAUCUUCCGGUAGAUUCCUUCUUUGACUGGAAUCACAGGUGGUCCAGAUGUCUCACAUUUUUCAAUAUACAGUCGGUACAUUUUCGAAAUAUUUAAUGUUUAAUCAAGAUAAAGUCGUCGAGUGUUGCUACGGGUAUAGUGCGAUUCUGUUACAGGAAAGCUUUCAAUGUGUUGUUUAACCUUUAUUCAGGCUUCGUCUGUAGUUUUGUUUAUAGGGACAUGUCUUCCGCAUCUAUCUGCUCCUGUGAACGUUCCAGCACAUCCUAAAUCUUGAAAGGCAGUGUUUACUGGGCCAUGACUAAUGUUGAGGGUAUUUAGAAAGAAAUGUUUGCAAACACGUUUCGGAGUACUAUUUUUUAUGAAUGUACGCUCUCCUCUAGGACGUUCUCGCUGAACGUCGUACAUCUUUACAUUUGACAGAAGAAAAUCUUUCUGACGGCAAUAGUCGCCUAGUUGCCAAUAUUCGUCACAUAAAUUUUUUCUCUCUAUGUCUGAGAAGCUGUCCAGACACUUGAAUCUGCAGUUUGCACAGUUUGAUGGUUGCGGAUACUUAGCAGAUUUUUGCCGACCUCUUGUGUCGGUAUGAGCCUUUCCUCAAUCAUGUGCAUUUUUUCUUAUAUUUUUUUUCCAAGAACUGCUAUCGGAUUUUUUCUUUCUUGUUCCUCUUUCUACAACAUUCGGAUUCUCUGGAAUGGGUAUUUGUUCCCCUUCCUGAAUGACAGACAAUGUUGGAUUUAUUUCAGAACCAUGUACACAACACAACAUAGGAUUUCAGUGUAGUAUAACUGUUUAUGUUCCACAUGGGCAGGAAUAUGUAAACAAAAAAAAAUUGGCCAAAAGUGACUAUGUCCCACAUAGACAGCUCUGGCUGAAAACAAAGUCCAUUGUAAUGGACAUAAACAAUAGUGGGUCUACUCUAGUGCCCUCUAUAUUGAAAGUGUGACUUGGACACAUCUGUCAAAAAAAUAUAUCGAAUUACUGUACCUAUUAUUUUAUGGACUUAACUGAUUUUUGCCAAAUUUGGACAUAGGCAGUUCUGGCUCUAAGCCCUCGAAAUCAUGUAUGCACAAAUGACUUUGAAAGGCAAUUACUCAAAAUCAUGUUUAUUUUACUCUAAGAGUACUGUACUUUCACUUUCCAAUAACUUAGGCUUGAAAUGUCCAAUUUGAAUGAAUGACCCCUCAUUUUAAAGAUCACAUACUCAGGUAUCUGAAAAUACCAAUAACUUGAAUUUCAAUUUUUGCUACAACUUUGCCAUUUUGCCACAACAUGUCUCAAAUGCUUGCUGUGAGAAUGUCUGCACAUUGUCAUGUUCACACCAAAAAAGAUCAAUCAUUUGUCUCAUCUUCGAUACUGUGACUUAUAAGGUCUAUUUUUAUUAUCAAAAGAACGUUCCUGCUCACUUGUCACUGUGUGUGUUUUUCUUAACAAAAGUUGUGACCAUGUUUAACAAAUAUUCAUUCAUAUUUUUUGGGGUUUUUUUGUUUUAAACUAACCUCCUCCGUUGUGCCCUUUCCAUUUUGUCUUUUUAUUAAAAAUUUGCUUAGAAACAUACCAACUUUCAAUUUUUGCCUUACCUACAAUAUAUAUUACAUUUUAAUCUGAUUUCAUCAAUAGUUUAAUGGUUUUAAAUUUGAAUAGUACAAAAUACCAAGUCUCUAUGCACUGCAAUCAUUGGCAACUUCAUUGAUUUCCUCUGGAAAUCCAUGUCUAUCGUUCUGUACCCUCAACCCAAUCAAUCAUCAACAUUCAAGUCUAACUAUGGCUUCUUUGCAUAUCAUCCAACUCAUCUUCACAUUCAUCAAUUCUUCUUCAUCAGAAUCUGGUGGUACAUUUCAUUAGGCUGUAUUGAAUCUGAUGUUUCAUUUUAAAAAUUUAACCUGUGAGUUUUAAGCGUGGGGACUGUUUAUUCUGCAUAUUCUGCAAAUGAAUACAUAUCUAAUAAAAAUUUGAUAGAAUUCAAUCUUUACUGCUGCCACCACCACCAUCACCACCACCCUGGCCUAAUAACAAUAAACAUGAUAAUGAAGUCAUGUAAAUGCUUGGGAUGAUGAUUUAAUGAAUUUGGUAUGGUAAUUUGUAAUUUAGUGUUGAUAAUGAAUAAUGUGUUUUUUCUUACACAGUAUGUACAUCGUCUUUCCAAUUCAUGUUGCAUUUUAAUAUUUUCAAUGCAUAACUCAUUUCCUGUGCGUAGCCAAGUCUUGCAAUGCUAUGUAGAAUACAGUACAUCAAGCAUGCUACACAAUGAACAAGGAAUAUGAAAAUAGGAUAUAUACAACAUCCUUAUUACUACUUAAAUGUAGCACCAAGACCUUCUGUUAGGCCAUCAGCUGUAUCUGAAAAAGUGGCUUGAAAACAUGGUCCUUUCCAGAAUAAUGUGGACUACUUUUUAGAAACAUGGUCCUUUCCAGAAUAAUGUAGACUACUUUUUGGAUGGAUGCAAUAAUGUUUAAAGGUCUCUGCAUAUACCUACAGUUUCUUGCUAGGACAUUAAAAAGCAUGUUCAGUUGUGUACUCCAAAAUGGCUGUUUUUGGGGUCUGAUAUCAUGUUUAAAUAAUCAUGCCUAAUUCAUGUUGAAUUGUAAUACAGUAUAUUCAAUGCAUAACUCAUUUCCUGUGCGUAGCCGAGUCCUGCAAUGAUAAGUAGAAUACAGUACAUCAUGCAUGCUGCACAAUGAACAAGGAAUAUGAAAACAGGGAAUAUACAAUUACAACAUCCUUAUUACUACUUAAAUGUAGCAACAAAACCUUCUGUUAGGCCAUCAGUUAUAUCUGAAAAAGUGGCUUGAAACAUGGUCCUUUCCAGAAUAAUGUAGACUACUUUUUGGAUGGAUGCAUUAAUGUUAAAAGGUCUCUGCAUAAACCUAGAGUUUCUUGUCAGGACACAACUAAACAUGCUUUUUGAUGUACUCCAAAAUGGCUGUUUUUGGGGUCUGAUAUCAUGUUUAAAUAAUCAUGCCUAAUUCAUGUUGAAUUGUAAUAUGUUCAAUGCAUAACUCAUUUCCUGUGCGUAGCCUAGUGUUGCAAUGCUAUGUAGAAUACAGUACAUCAAGCAUGCUACACAAUGAACAAGGAAUAUGAAAACGGAUAUAUACAACAUCCUUACCACUACUUAAAUGUAGCACCAAGACCUUCUGUUAGGCCAUCAGCUGUAUCUAAAAAAGUGGCUUGAAAACAUGGUCCUUUCUAGAAUAAUGUGGACUACUUUUUAAAAGCAUGGUCCUUUCCAGUAGACUAUUUUUGGAUGGAUGCAAUAAUGUUUAAAGGUCUCUGCAUAAACCUACAGUUUCUUGCCAGGACACAACUGAACAUACUUUUUAAUGUACUCCAAAAUGGCUGUUUUUGGGGUCUGAUAUGUUAAAAUAAUCAUGUCUAAUUCAUGUUGAAUUGUAAUAUGUUCAAUGCAUAACUCAUUUCCUGUGCGUAGCCGAGUUUUGCAAUGAUAUGUAGAAUACAUUACAUCAUGCAUGCUGCACAAUGAACAAGGAAUAUGAAAAUAGGGAAUAUACAAUUACAACAUCCUUAUUACUACUUAAAUGUAGCAACAAAAUCUUCUGUUAGGCCAUCAGUUAUAUCUGAAAAAGUGGCUUGAAAACAUGGUCCUUUCCAGAAUAAUGUAGACUUUUUGGAUGGAUGCAUUAAUGUUUAAAGGUCUCUGCAUAAACCUACAGUUUCUUGUCAGGACACAACUAAAAAUGCUUUUUAAUGUACUCCAAAAUGGCUGUUUUGGGGGUCUGAUACCAUGUUUAAAUAAUCAUGUCCAAAUCAUGUUGCGUUGUAAUAUGUUGAACGAAAACGCAUUUCCUGUGAGUAGCCAAAUUCAGCAAUGCUAUGUAGAAUACAGUACAUUGAGCAUGCUACACAAUGAACAAGGAAUAUGAAAAUGGAAUAUACAAUUACAACAUCCUUACCACUACUGUACUUAAAUGUAGCACCAAAACUGUACAGUACCACCAGAACCAUCUGUUAGGCCAUCAGCUGUAUCUGUAAAAGUGGCUUGAAAACAUGGUCCUUUCCAGAAUAAUGUGGACUACUUUUUGGAUGGAUGCAUUAAUGUUAAAAGGUCUCUGCAUAAACCUACAGUUUCUUGUCAGGACACAACUGAACAUGCUUUUUAAUGUACCCCAAAAUGGCUGUUUUUGGGGUCUGAUACCAUGUUUAAAUAAUCAUGUCUAAUUCAUGUUGCAUUGUAAUAUGUUCAACACAAACGCAUUUCCUGUGAUUAGCCAAAUUCAGCAAUGUUAUGUAGAAUACAGUACAUCGAGCAUGCUACACAAUGAACAAGGAAUAUGAAAACAGGGAAUAUACAAUUACAACAUCCUUCCACUACUUAAAUGUAGCACCAAGACUGUACAGUACCACCAGAACCAUCUGUUAGGCCAUCAGCUGUAUCUGAAAAAGUUCCUUUCCAUAAUAAUUAGACUACUUUUUGGAUAGAUGCAUUAGGGUCUCUGCAUAAACCCAGUUUCUUCUUUCUUUUUGAUGUAUCCCAAAAUGGCUGUUUUGGGGUCUGAUACCAUGUUUAAAUAAUCACAUUGUCUGAUAGUCACAAUUUUCAACAUUGAUGGAAAUUGUAAUUUUUAUUUGAUAAAUUCUUAUUGGCCUUUAUGUAAUAAAAACUGAAAAAUAACAAUGUAUUAUUAUAAGGAACAACUAAUUUUUCAACUAACAUGGUAUGUUUUUACUAACUGUUCCAUGUUGGAACAUACAGUAUUUCCUUUGUUGGUGGUUGGCUCUGUUUUGAUGUUGAUGAUAGACAGAACAUUUUGUAAAUGGCAACAUAUGGCAACAUUAACAUUUGUUAUUAACCUGGCCAUAAAACUUGCUUAUAAAUGAUUUAUAAAUGGUUAAAAUGCUCUUUCACUUCAAGUCUAAGUGUCUGCCGAGAUCUGUAAAUACUUUUAGAUAACUUUCUACAGACCUACAACUUGUCCUUCCUGUAGCAAUCAUAAAGAAAAGGUUAGAAGGCAAUGUAUCUAUAAGUGAUAAGGCUAUGCUCACAUCUGUGUCUGGACUUCUGAUGAUUACAUUUUGUAAUACUUUGAAGCAUGAUUUUCAUGAAGAAGUAACUGUGUAUUUGCACAUGGAGAAAAUGUACUGACACUUUCUUUUUUUUUUCUUAAAAUGUUUUACUUUCUUUUGCAAAAACACAUUGCAGAAAUAAUAAGAGAAAAUGUAAUACAAAUAAAUCAAAGCACUCUCAGUUGCUUCUAAUCAUUGCCAUUUGUUAAUAUGAAUGUAAUACUUAAGGUUAUUCUUAGCAAUAUUCUUUUCAGUUGUUUCUGUAAAAUAUACCCAUUUUCUAAUACCUGAGAGGAGUUUAAUUUUGCAAUUAUAAAAGUAUCUUUAAGCCAGAAUCAAAUUCAGACAAAUAAAAAAUUGCAUAUUUAUGUUCAAAAACUCAAAACACAUGUCAGUAUAUUUUAUGUUAACAGUAAUGUCUAAAGUCUUUUCUCAAGCCCACAUCAAAUGCUCCAUUCUUCUCUUUCUUUUUACAAAGUAAGCAUUUGUCUUCUGGUCCUUGCAGUAAAUUUGAACCGUCUGUGUUCUACUCCCUGCCCCCGGUAAUCGCUCAAGAUAUUUAAACCUUAUGUAAGGGUAUCACAAAUUCUACAUGUGAGCAUUAGUAUUUUAUCUCCAAGAUUGUUUGUUCCAGAAUAGCAUCAUUCAAUUCUCCAAUUUUAUUGUAAUGGGACAUCACUCAUACUGAUUAGUGGGUUUGCUUCUUCUACUGUCGCUAUGCACUUAAGGCCGUCAUCCAAAUAGAAAUUAUAAUGGAUUAAUUCAGUAGCUGCUUCACAUCUUUUCUCUUUACCAUAAUCUGUGGCUCUUCUUAAACCAAAGUUUGCACAAGCUGGAGAGCUCUUAGCACUGAAAAGAUGCACCUUCAUGCGAUGAUCAAUGAUUGGAUUCUCCACAUUGUUGGCCUUAUAGGAAUUGGAGCAGACCUGUGUCAAUCUCCCUCUGAACAAAUUGGUGGAACAUGCCCCUUAUGUCACAUAUCAAUGUGAUCUUCCCUAUUCUUAAUCUGAGCAACACACCAAGUAAAUUUUGAUCUGAUUUGGCACGUUAAGUAAAGGUCAUUUAACAAGGUUCCUUGAUAGGGUGCUGAACAGUAAUAACAACCUAUUUCUCAUCUGCUUUAUUCAGAAUUCUUCAGACUAAUUUUUUCAAACUCAUCUAAUCUCUACAGCCUAACCUUUAAUGCAGCCUUUUCACCGAUGGCCAUAAAUUUGAGGACGCAACAAUGCAUUGCUAAUAACCGAUCCGUCUCUUCUACACGGGCCAGCCUGCUGCUGAAAUACGUCCUGUGAAAAGGUCUAAUCUUUUUUUAGACUAUAACCGACCACUAUGGAAUCGAUGGACGAUAUGGAACCCACCAUAGAACUGACGAACGAUAUGGAACCCACUCUGGAACCGAUAAACGAUAUGGAACCGAAUAACGAUAUGGAACCCACGACUGCUGUGGAAAUGAAACUAACGACAUCUGCCGAGGACCCGCUGACGAACACUAUCGUAGACCUCAGGGGAAACGUGAACAAGUUGUUCGGCCGCUUCGUGGUGAGGGCCGUGACAUUGGUGCCUCUCGUUGUGUCCCAUAAAUAAAUUAGCGAGAGUCUGAGCUAAUGGUGACCCCAUGGUGACCCCAUCUAUUUGUUGAAAGUAAUCAAAUAAAGUAUCCAGAAGUUGCUAUUACCAUUAGUUUUCGAAGGAUUUCAGGUUUUAAUUUACAAUUGCUAUUGUUUUCCGUAAUAUAGUGUACUGCUAAAUCUAUAGCCUCUUUCAAUGAUGAUAUGUUCGUGAAUAAACUCUCAACGUCAAAUGAGAUCAUAAAUUUGUUAUUCAGUUUGUGAUUUUUAAUUGUAUUAACAAAACUGAAACUGUUCUUUACACUGAAUUUAUCUGGUAUAUGUGAUUGAAGGAGCUCACUUAAAAAUUUAGCUAAUUUAUAAUUAGAUGUCCCAAUUGUGGAAACAAUCGACCACAUUUUGUGAAGACCAUCUUCACCCAGCUUUUUAUGUAGUUUCGGUAAUCCGUAUAUUCUAGCAGGUGAUGAAACAUUAGGGUAAAUUUGUUUGUAUGUAUCAAUGUCCAACUCCCCAGCUUUGUGUCAUUUCCUAAGAACCGUUCUUGUUUACGUGUCGGAUUUAUGUUAAGUUUGGCAAAUUAUGCACGAUGCUUCCAUAUCGGAUUCCAUGACACAGCAGACUUGACCUCUUUGGUUGAAUAUCUCUGUAGAGUAGUUUUUACCGUUGCACCAACUUCAGCUGCUGUGGAAAGCUUCUGUUUCAAGAGUCAUCCAAUCUUCUUUAUAAAACAACAAGAUCACAAGUCUGCAAACUUAAUUUUAGACAUAGGCCGACUUUUUAACAGAGACUAUACUACUUUGGGGUUUUGGUAAAUCUACAUGAUUAAAGUCUGAGAGACAGCUCUGGUCGUGCAGUAGAUAUGGACUUGUAUCCAACUAUUGGUGAAAUGUUACUUGGCAGUCUUCUGGCUUGGGUUAGUUUAACACAGAUUACGUUUUCUUUUGUAAUGGUCUCCCUACUCCUCAUUUUUUGUACAUGGAUUUUAUACGAUGAGUAAGUUACACUACGAUACAUCGUAUGGAUUUCAUACACAGUAGACUUUCCCCUUCUGGGGAAAUUCGGUUGGAUGUCUUUGUAGAGUGGUUGCUACCAUUUCGCCUUCCAUUCCGAGAGUCCUCCAAUAUGAAUCUUGUAGAUAGAACAACACAAAACAUUAUAGUCAAAGUCACAUGUCUGUAAACAUAAUUGUAGACCUAGGCCAAAUCUUUAACAGAGACCAUACUUCUUUGGGGUUUUAGUAAAUCUACAUGAUUAAAGUCUGAGAGGCAUAGCUCUGGACUUCUUCCAGUAGCUAGACUAUCUUGCAGUACAGUAGAUAUGGACUUGAAUCCAACUCUUGGGCACAGUCCGCCCAUCUAUUGCUGGUUGACCAAAUUUUUGUUUUCAUUAUGCAUUUUUCAGUAUCAUCCAGCAUAAAUUUGAAUUGGUGAGGUUUACUGUGGUAUAUGGUGUCGUGUAAAUGGGGUUUAUCCAGUCUUUGAUGUAGAAUGUUUGUGUUAUAAUUGAUUUAGUUAUAGUGAGCUUUUGAUGUUUCAAUUGAAUUUUUGAGAUGAUCAAGUGUAAAAAUACAGUGUUUUUUAAGAUGUUUGGUAAUGCAUGAAAACAUUUGGUCAAUAUCCUUGUGAGUGUGGCCUACAUAAGUCAGGUUCACAUGUCUCCAUCGAUCGCGAGUGGGUCGUGGUCUAGAUUGUGUUAGAUAAAAAAUUGGCCAAACUGCGUAUGCUACUGCUUUCGAGGCAACCGAAAAUUAAUUUAUGUCACAUCCCCCGGCCAAUUGGUUGUAGACAUGUGCAGAUCGCAUCGUGUUUGUACAUUUCGUCUAGAGAAUAUUCUACAGGAGAGUGUUUACAUCAUGUUUCCUUGCAAUUUGCUUCCAAAGGUCCUGCAACUGUGUUUGGAUUUGCCGUGCCGUCGUCGGCGAGUGGCCUGGUACAGACGAAAAUCUAACGUGUGCUUUACUUGUGUAUUUUUGUCUUAUUAUUUGAUUUCUUGUCUUCCACUAACAUUCUAAUCUCGGGUUUUGCCCAAAUCUCUAUCAAGUGACUCAUUUCUUCCUCAGUUCAACAGGCCCGAGCGCCAGAUUCAGUUGAAGUUGAAUAUUUAUGGGUGUUUAAAUGAAAAAAAACAUACAACAGCCAGAACGGCAACAAUUGUGAAAAUGGCAUUCUUAACAGAUGCAUUGUUGUUGACUAUAACAGACAGUUCGGAAAUGUUUUGUUGGUUUUCCCUUGAACAAUAGAUAUGUUUAUGUUGAAGUUACAGCCAAUGCCUCUGCUUUAGUUUGGACAGUUAAUCUAGUACACAAUUCUAUAAUCAGCUUGUUGAACUAUGUCCAACAGAGGGUGCUAUACAGAUCAUCUCUCCCUUUUUUGAGAUAGAAAAGACUAAGGAAAAUUAAACAAUUGUACAUGUACAUGUGUUAAAAUACUUAAAAGGUAAUAUAAUUCUGAGCCAGUACUGUAAAGUAGUUGCCAAAACAUUAGCAUUAGAAUAAGGAAUUAAAAUAUAGUAAGGUAGAUGAACAGUUCAUUUUGGUUUUGGUUAUCAAAAGUUCGGAGUUCUGUCCUUUUUAGUUUGAAGCUUAGAAAAAGUCUCUUUAACUAGUUGGGGCACAUUUUACGCAUUUGGGCCUAUUUGGUUUUUAUGUUGGAAACUGCCUCUUUUGUGAAGGACAAUACCCACAUGAUCAAGAAUGCCCGGCAAAGGGGAAGGAAUGUACUUCUUAUGGUAUAAGCUAAACCAUUUUUCCUUGGUUUGCCACUCAAACAG
rnacentral:lncRNA from 1 species